AGUUCCAUAUGGAAUUGGAAGCCUCUCACAGUCGCAUGUCAAUGGGAAGAGAACGUACCUGGGAAGCUCUUCAACAUACCAAACUCUGCAAGAACACCUAGAAGAAGUUCACCGGAAAAUAGAAGAACAAGCAGCAGAGAAUACAAGGCGUGAGUCCGAGCUUACAAAAGUUUCUGAAGUGCAGCAAGCCAAGAUCGACAAACUAUCCCUUGUCGAGAAGUAUAUGGCUGAAACUGAUCCAGGAUUUUUGGACUUUGUGGCUGCAAAUAAAACCUCAGAUCUGCCAAAUGAUGGUCCGAUGACUGCUGCUCCACAAAAUGCUGCUCCGGCCUCUUCUUCUAAUCCAACCACUCAGCACUUUGCAGCAUAGGUCAACAACUUCUUCUUCUCUCUUAACUCUUUUGGAUUUUUUGGCUGCUAUUAGAGCUCUCAACUCUGUUCGUCUCCUUUUGAACUCAACUCCAUGGUUGUAUGUAUUA
rnacentral:lncRNA from 1 species